rnacentral:tRNA from 1 species
GUCUGGAUAGCUCAGCUGGAUGAGCAAUAGGCUUUUAAGCUGAAGGUCCAGGACUCAAGCCCCUGUUCAGGUG